CGCGGUAAUACGGAGGAUCCAAGCGUUAUCCGGAUUUAUUGGGUUUAAAGGGUGCGUAGGCGGCCUGUUAAGUCAGGGGUGAAAGACGGUAGCUCAACUAUCGCAGUGCCCUUGAUACUGAUGGGCUUGAAUGGACUAGAGGUAGGCGGAAUGAGACAAGUAGCGGUGAAAUGCAUAGAUAUGUCUCAGAACACCGAUUGCGAAGGCAGCUUACUAUGGUCUUAUUGACGCUGAGGCACGAAAGCGUGGGGAUCAAACAGGAUUAGAUACCCUGGUAGUCCACGCCCUAAACGAUGAACACUCGCUGUUGGCGAUACACAGUCAGCGGCUAAGCGAAAGCGUUAAGUGUUCCACCUGGGGAGUACGCCCGCAAGGGUGAAACUCAAAGGAAUUGACGGGGGCCCGCACAAGCGGAGGAGCAUGUGGUUUAAUUCGAUGAUACGCGAGGAACCUUACCCGGGCUUGAAAGUUAGUGAAUGAUCCAGAGAUGGAUCAGUGAGCAAUCACACGAAACUAGGUGCUGCAUGGCUGUCGUCAGCUCGUGCCGUGAGGUGUUGGGUUAAGUCCCGCAACGAGCGCAACCCCUAUGUUUAGUUGCCAGCACGUGAUGGUGGGGACUCUAAACAGACUGCCUGUGCAAACAGAGAGGAAGGAGGGGACGACGUCAAGUCAUCAUGGCCCUUACGUCCGGGGCUACACACGUGCUACAAUGGACGGUACAGAGGGCAGCUACAUAGCAAUAUGAUGCGAAUCUCACAAAGCCGUUCACAGUUCGGAUUGGGGUCUGCAACUCGACCCCAUGAAGUUGGAUUCGCUAGUAAUCGCGUAUCAGCAAUGACGCGGUGAAUACGUUCCCGGGCCUUGUACACACCGCCCGUCAAGCCAUGGAAGUUGGGGGUACCUAAAGUAUGUAACCGCAAGGAGCGUCCUAGGGUAAAACCGAUAACUGGGGCUAAGUCGUAACAAGGUAACC
rnacentral:rRNA from 1 species